rnacentral:lncRNA from 1 species
AGUAAUGUCACAAGAAUCCACCCAAAACAAAGCAAAUAUAUGAAUGUAGUCAAAUAGGAAAUGACACAACGCAUAUUUUCAUCAAAUGCAACAUAAAUGGACAUAAUUACUCCAAUGUGUGACGUACAAAUUGGCAAAUAUGAUAUCGUAAUUCGAUUUAUGGGAGAAUGUUCAUCAAAUACACCGUAUUUAGAUUACUGCAAAGGACCUAACUUUAAUCAUUUCACUCAUGGAAAACAAAAUAUUCCCUAUCAGAAGUCUAAUCUUUAAGUAAAGCAUGUAUUAUAAAUUAUAUUGACUUGAGCAUAAAGCACCACAGGGUCACGACUAGAAAUAAGACCGGCAGAGCUUCCCACUGAACAUCUCUCCAAACCACAUAUCCAACCUCUUUCGCCCUGCAAUUCAUCAGUUCAUUCAUCUUCAACUCUUAUUUUGAUUUCAUGUGUAUUUUCCAGCAAUGAAUAAACCAAUAUUAAACAUUAUACAUAACCAACAUUUCAAAAUUUCCACUUCUCCCAUUAUGACGUACACUAACCUAAGCCGCACAGACAGUGGAAACGUUGCAUUGAAAAUUAUAAUUUAUUUCACAAAUUCAAUAGUUAAUUUCAAAUUUAGCAUCCAUUCAGACUAAUCACUUGUUAAAUUUUUAUAUCAUCUGGAUUAAAAGUUUCGUGCAACUUGGACAAUAAAAUUCCCGGAGAGGACAAGAACUCGCCUAGUGAUCAGGCACGUGACCUCUACACAAUUUACGUAGCGUAGAAUCAGCCUUCUCUACGGCGUGCGCAUUGAUUUCCGUUGUGCAGGAAGAUCCGAGAGAGUGCUACGCCUGUGCCUUGUAGAGGAGGGCCAGGAAAGACGAUGCAGGUGCGUCGCAGCCGAACUCGCCAUGGAAGGUGGAGCUCACAAUUCUGAGCUGCGAACUGUGAACUCUGAGAGGGAAAGAGAGGUCAAAUUACGUGUGUACCCUUCUCCCAAAUUCUCCCCAGAUUUUGGAUAAAUUUCGCCAGGGGUCCUCAACCUUUCGCAAUUGUGGCAUAAUAUCCUCAAUCUCUCAUUUGUUACUAUUGGCUUUUCCAAAAUAUAUACGAGCGCAAAGCCUUCGUGCAGCCAACCUUAAAUUUAUUAAGACCCUGUUUCCAUGGCUUAUUGGACUUGGAAUAAAUUAGUGGGUUUUGAUUUUCACCAAUUAAAAAGGAAGAAAAGUCAACAAAAAUAGCAUAAUUUAUAUUUGACCAAGUUAACGAAAAGAAUAGUAAUAAUCAGUGGUGGAUGCAGAUAUUUUGAAUUGAUGGGACACAAUCAAACUUACAAAA